GCAGAGUAUCCACCUUAGACUCCAACUCUGUGAUCUUAAGGACAGCAGCAUCAUAUUUUCUAGACAGCUGUAACAGAAAAAUAAUUGAGCUCUGCAGACGAUAAAUUGGACAUUUAUAUUGAUGCUGGUAUUUAUAACUCCUGGAUGGCAACAUGGGUCAUCAUACAGGUCCAGCGAGGCCAAAGUAUCAUCCUGAUCUUCCAUCUGUAACAGACAACACAGAAUACAAAGACCUGAAGGAGACUCCUGGCACCUAUCAUCAAAAUAUACAUGUACAUGAUGUAGUUUCAAAAUCACCUUGAAAAAAACUUAAUCAAAUUCCUGAAGAUGUUUGUCUACCAGUGUCCAUUCUCUCUCUCCUGAUCAAUUCAAGCUUUUUUUUCAAUGAAAUUUCCAGAAGAACUUAAUUCAUGUUUGAGAAAGAGCUGUAUACAUACUGCUCUUUCAGUUUGAAGUUUUGAUCAACAGGCUAAUUUCUCAAUUUACAGUCAGAAUUUCAAACACAUUAGCCAUGAUUAUUAUUCAGUUCGGUUACUUAGAUUUGGAGAAACCAUAAUUUCUGAAAAGCAGAGAUCGCUAUUAUACGUGUAACAGGAAGGAGUAGUGUGCUUCCAUCGGGUAUCCAAAGCUUCUCAGACUCAGCCCACCGCUCUACAGAUUGAGCUAAAAGGAAAUUCCCUCUAGCGCAGAGCUAGACCGUAGUCCUAUCUAAAAUUAGAAUCUGCCACAUAUUCAUUCAAAACAAAUAUAUUAAGUUAUUAAAAAUUAAACUUUAUUAUUGUACAUUGUCAUUAGUGCUCGGGUUCUGGAAUAUAUGUGAUAUAUUAUCGUACCCACUAGAUAUCGCACCGCCUUCUACUAAUAAAUCAUAUUAUUUUAUUUAUUAGUACUAGGGGGUGCGAUAAUAUAUCACAUAUAUUCCAGAACCCGAGCACGCUAUAUGUGCUUGUACACUGAAAGUGUGUAUUGAGCUUUGUCCUUCCGCCAAUCUAUGUAAACAUUUAUAACACUUCCAAAUUUGUACAAUUCAGUAACGAUC